AAGCCAGUGGUGAACUCCACAUACGCAUCCUUUGCUGAGGAUACGGUUAACGGAGCGAAAGCGACGUUCAACCGCAAAAGAAGCAGAGGGGGCUUAGUGGUGGGGUGACUGCGUACCUUUUGUAUAAUGGGUCAGCGACUUAUAUUCUGUAGCAAGGUUAACCGUAUAGGGGAGCCGGAGGGAAACCGAGUCUUAACCGGGCGUUAAGUUGCAGGGUAUAGACCCGAAACCCGGUGAUCUAGCCAUGGGCAGGUUGAAGGUUGGGUAACACUAACUGGAGGACCGAACCGACUAAUGUUGAAAAAUUAGCGGAUGACCUGUGGCUGGGGGUGAAAGGCCAAUCAAACCGGGAGAUAGCUGGUUCUCCCCGAAAGCUAUUUAGGUAGCGCCUCGUGAACUCAUCUCCGGGGGUAGAGCACUGUUUCGGCUAGGGGGCCAUCCCGGCUUACCAACCCGAUGCAAACUGCGAAUACCGGAGAAUGUUAUCACGGGAGACACACGGCGGGUGCUAACGUCCGUCGUGAAGAGGGAAACAACCCAGACCGCCAGCUAAGGUCCCAAAGUCAUGGUUAAGUGGGAAACGAUGUGGGAAGGCCCAGACAGCCAGGAUGUUGGCUUAGAAGCAGCCAUCAUUUAAAGAAAGCGUAAUAGCUCACUGGUCGAGUCGGCCUGCGCGGAAGAUGUAACGGGGCUAAACCAUGCACCGAAGCUGCGGCAGCGAACGUAUCACCCAAGACAACUUUACGGAGUUGACGAUUGACGGAGCGAAGCGACGUCAAAGCGUUCAUUAAAGUCGAGUUGGCUUAGGGAUACGUUCGUUGGGUAGGGGAGCGUUCUGUAAGCCUGUGAAGGUGGCCUGUGAGGGUUGCUGGAGGUAUCAGAAGUGCGAAUGCUGACAUAAGUAACGAUAAAGCGGGUGAAAAGCCCGCUCGCCGGAAGACCAAGGGUUCCUGUCCAACGUUAAUCGGGGCAGGGUGAGUCGACCCCUAAGGCGAGGCCGAAAGGCGUAGUCGAUGGGAAACGGGUUAAUAUUCCCGUACUUGGUGUUACUGCGAAGGGGGGACGGAGAAGGCUAUGUUGGCCGGGCGACGGUUGUCCCGGUUUAAGCGUGUAGGUGUGUGUUCCAGGUAAAUCCGGUUCACUUUAACACUGAGGCGUGACGACGAGGCACUACGGUGCUGAAGCAACAAAUGCCCUGCUUCCAGGAAAAGCCUCUAAGCAUCAGGUAACAUCAAAUCGUACCCCAAACCGACACAGGUGGUCAGGUAGAGAAUACCAAGGCGCUUGAGAGAACUCGGGUGAAGGAACUAGGCAAAAUGGUGCCGUAACUUCGGGAGAAGGCACGCUGACACGUAGGUGAAGUGAUUUACUCAUGGAGCUGAAGUCAGUCGAAGAUACCAGCUGGCUGCAACUGUUUAUUAAAAACACAGCACUGUGCAAACACGAAAGUGGACGUAUACGGUGUGACGCCUGCCCGGUGCCGGAAGGUUAAUUGAUGGGGUCAGCGCAAGCGAAGCUCCUGAUCGAAGCCCCGGUAAACGGCGGCCGUAACUAUAACGGUCCUAAGGUAGCGAAAUUCCUUGUCGGGUAAGUUCCGACCUGCACGAAUGGCGUAAUGAUGGCCAGGCUGUCUCCACCCGAGACUCAGUGAAAUUGAACUCGCUGUGAAGAUGCAGUGUACCCGCGGCAAGACGGAAAGACCCCGUGAACCUUUACUAUAGCUUGACACUGAACAUUGAGCCUUGAUGUGUAGGAUAGGUGGGAGGCUUUGAAGUGUGGACGCCAGUCUGCAUGGAGCCGACCUUGAAAUACCACCCUUUAAUGUUUGAUGUUCUAACGUGGACCCGUUACCCGGGUUGCGGACAGUGUCUGGUGGGUAGUUUGACUGGGGCGGUCUCCUCCUAAAGAGUAACGGAGGAGCACGAAGGUUGGCUAAUCCUGGUCGGACAUCAGGAGGUUAGUGCAAUGGCAUAAGCCAGCUUGACUGCGAGCGUGACGGCGCGAGCAGGUGCGAAAGCAGGUCAUAGUGAUCCGGUGGUUCUGAAUGGAAGGGCCAUCGCUCAACGGAUAAAAGGUACUCCGGGGAUAACAGGCUGAUACCGCCCAAGAGUUCAUAUCGACGGCGGUGUUUGGCACCUCGAUGUCGGCUCAUCACAUCCUGGGGCUGAAGUAGGUCCCAAGGGUAUGGCUGUUCGCCAUUUAAAGUGGUACGCGAGCUGGGUUUAGAACGUCGUGAGACAGUUCGGUCCCUAUCUGCCGUGGGCGCUGGAGAACUGAGGGGGGCUGCUCCUAGUACGAGAGGACCGGAGUGGACGCAUCACUGGUGUUCGGGUUGUCAUGCCAAUGGCACUGCCCGGUAGCUAAAUGCGGAAGAGAUAAGUGCUGAAAGC
rnacentral:rRNA from 1 species